rnacentral:rRNA from 1 species
GACAUCCAGAGAACUUAGCAGAGAUGCUUUGGUGCCUUCGGGAACUCUGAGACAGGUGCUGCAUGGCUGUCGUCAGCUCGUGUUGUGAAAUGUUUGGGUUAAGUCCGCAACGAGCGCAACCCUUUAUCCUUUGUUGCCAGCGAUUCGGUCGGGAACUCAAAGGAGACUGCCGGUGAUAAACCGGAGGAAGGUGGGGAUGACGUCAAGUCAUCAUGGCCCUUACGAGUAGGGCUACACACGUGCUACAAUGGCGCAUACAAAGAGAAGCGACCUCGCGAGAGCAAGCGGACCUCACAAAGUGCGUCGUAGUCCGGAUCGGAGUCUGCAACUCGACUCCGUGAAGUCGGAAUCGCUAGUAAUCGUGGAUCAGAAUGCCACGGUGAAUACGUUCCCGGGCCUUGUACACACCGCCCGUCACACCAUGGGAGUGGGUUGCAAAAGAAGUAGGUAGCUUAACCUUCGGGAGGGCGCUUACCACUUUGUGAUUCAUGACUGGGGUGAAGUCGUAACAAGGUAGGCGUACGUGU